rnacentral:rRNA from 1 species
GACGAACGCUGGCGGCGUGCUUAACACAUGCAAGUCGAACGGAAAGGCCCUGCUUUUGUGGGGUGCUCGAGUGGCGAACGGGUGAGUAACACGUGAGUAACCUGCCCUUGACUUUGGGAUAACUUCAGGAAACUGGGGCUAAUACCGGAUAGGAGCUCCUGCUGCAUGGUGGGGGUUGGAAAGUUUCGGCGGUUGGGGAUGGACUCGCGGCUUAUCAGCUUGUUGGUGGGGUAGUGGCUUACCAAGGCUUUGACGGGUAGCCGGCCUGAGAGGGUGACCGGCCACAUUGGGACUGAGAUACGGCCCAGACUCCUACGGGAGGCAGCAGUGGGGAAUAUUGCACAAUGGGCGGAAGCCUAAUGCAGCAACGCCGCGUGCGGGAUGACGGCCUUCGGGUUGUAAACCGCUUUCGCCUGUGACGAAGCGUGAGUGACGGUAAUGGGUAAAGAAGCACCGGCUAACUACGCG